GACGAAGGGGGCUAGCGUUGCUCGGAAUUACUGGGCGUAAAGCGCGUGUAGGUGGUUGUCCAAGUUGGAUGUGAAAGCCUUGAGCUCAACUCAAGAAAUGCAUUCAGGACUGGGCGGCUAGAGGACCGGAGAGGAUAGUGGAAUUCCCAGUGUAGUGGUGAAAUACGUAGAGAUUGGGAAGAACACCAGUGGCGAAGGCGGCUAUCUGGACGGUUUCUGACACUAAGACUCGAAAGCGUGGGGAGCAAACAGG
rnacentral:rRNA from 1 species